UGGGCAAUAGCCUGACUCUUAAGAAUUAACAGAUGCCAACACACCCAACAGGAAUUUAGGGUCACUGUGACAAGGGGCACAACACUUGUGACUUCCCUGUGAGCAAAGGUCCCACACAU
rnacentral:snoRNA from 1 species